rnacentral:rRNA from 1 species
GAUGAACGCUGGCGGCGUGCCUAAUACAUGCAAGUCGAGCGAACAGACGAGGAGCUUGCUCCUCUGACGUUAGCGGCGGACGGGUGAGUAACACGUGGAUAACCUACCUAUAAGACUGGGAUAACUUCGGGAAACCGGAGCUAAUACCGGAUAAUAUAUUGAACCGCAUGGUUCAAUAGUGAAAGACGGUUUUGCUGUCACUUAUAGAUAGAUCCGCGCCGCAUUAGCUAGUUGGUAAGGUAACGGCUUACCGAGGCAACGAUGCGUAGCCGACCUGAGAGGGUGAUCGGCCACACUGGAACUGAGACACGGUCCAGACUCCUACGGGAGGCAGCAGUAGGGAAUCUUCCGCAAUGGGCGAAAGCCUGACGGAGCAACGCCGCGUGAGUGAUGAAGGUCUUCGGAUCGUAAAACUCUGUUAUUAGGGAAGAACAAAUGUGUAAGUAACUAUGCACGUCUUGACGGUACCUAAUCAGAAAGCCACGGCUAACUACGUG